AAAAGAACAUAUUUGUUUAUUCAGAUCACAUCCUUAGAAGUGAUUUCUUAUAUAAGGGAGAUAAUAUUAUCAGUAGCCAGACUUUAUUAAAAAAAUCAGCUCUACCUUAAAGGAUUUCUGAUGCACUGGUUAAAAACACAGCAGCCGAUAAUUCAGUUAAUUUACCAAGUGAUUUACCCUUCAAAGCUGCAGGGGUAGUUUUCUUGAAGAGUGCAAAAACUUCUUUAGAUUCCAAAAUGGUAUAUAGUACAAAUAGUGAAGCUAAUAUACACAAAUCUGAUCAUUCAUCAACAAUAACUGCAUCUGAGAUUAAUUGUUACCGUCUAGGUCUAGGUCAACAAUUACUAUUUCUCAUCCAAGCCGUUUUUGUUUAACUGCUACACAUUCCCUGACUCUGCCAAGGAAAAGGGUAAAAUCAAAAUUAUAUCCUGAGGACCUAAGCACUGAUGAUUCCACCGUUUCAAAAGCUAAAUCACUUGUCACCAAAUUAUGGAAAAAAAAAGAACAAAAAAUUAAAAUUCGACGAUUGCAACAAACAAAUUUGCGCCAAAGAAAUUGAAUUAGAUGUCUCAAGUCAUUAUUAAAAUACUUAAGAAAUAAUAACAUGAUUUUCGAAA
rnacentral:lncRNA from 1 species